CAGUUAUACCGAGUUAAUUAUUUUCAAAUAAGUGGAAUCCCAAAAAAUGAUUUAAACGGCAAAAAUAAAGUGUAAAAUUAUAUGAAACAUGAAAAUUGAAAUCCCAUUUUUCAUCAUUUCCUUUUCAUAUAUUGAAUACACUAUUUACACCAACCACUGGUGAAUUAUAUUCGGAUUUCGGUCUUAGGUAUCCGUCCUUGUCUCCGGGAAUAUUAUACCCACACAAGUUGUCAACAUCCGUUUUCAAACUGUUCAAAGUGUUCUUCACAAUCUCCCUGGAAAAUAUUCACGCUAUCACUUCGUGCUCAGAUAAUAGAACAUUGUAAACCUCUAACAGCAAAUGCGGACCAAAAUUAAUCAAAUUUGAAAGCACGGAUGAUCACGUGUAAUGCCGACUGAUGGAGAAAGAUGUUCACUAUGGAUCAAAAAUUCAAAACAGAGGACUUUUUUAUUCAAACAAAAAUACUUGUACAUGUAUGAUAUUCUGUACAUACAACAAGAAAACAGUAAUCAAACAGAAUGUCCAGUGAUGUUGAAAGCAAAAUUAUUUUUGUUAACAGAAAACAAUAGGACUACAAUAUAUUAAGGUACACAACACAUCGUGUAAGAAGAAUAAUUUUACUGGAGGAUAAAAAAUUUAAUACCUGGAAUCAGCAAUUUACAAAAUGUAUACGAAAUUUAUUAAGAGAGAUAUAUUCAUGUACAGAAUGGUAACCCCACCAAAUAACUCAGGUGGUUCAAGUGAUUAUUAGCAGACAUUUUUGUUGAACUAAUGCAGGAUUAAAUAAAUGAAGCUUUAGCAGACUAUGGGCUCCAAAGUGUAGUAAAAAGAGGAUUUUUAAAUAUGACAGACUCAUUUUUGCGCCUGUCCCAAGUCAGGAGCCUCUAGCCUUUGUCAGUCUUGUAUUAUUUUUAAUUUUAGUUUCUUGUGUACAAUUUGGAGUUUAGUAUGGCGUUCAUUAUCACUGAACUAGUAUAUAUAUUUGUUUAGGGGCCAGCUAAAGGACGCCUCCGGGUGCGGGAAUUUCUCGCUGCAUUGAAGACCUGUUGGUGACCUUCUGCUGUUGUCUGUUCUAUGGUCGGGUUGUUGUCUCUUUGACACAUUCCCCAUUUCCAUUCUCAAUUUUAUCAUAAACAUUAAAAUGUGCAUAAGUGAAAUGUUACAAUAUUUAGUAAAAAAUUCAGAUUAUUGA